CAAGUCCCUUUUUGAGGAGUUUGGUGUCAAGCACCGAAUCACAUCAGCAUACCAUCCUCAGACCAAUGGACUGGAUGAGAGGACCAAUCAGACACUGAAGAGGUCCAUUGGCAAGACCCUUGAUGGACAACAGGAGAGACCACUGGAGAUCUUCCAGAUGAUGUGGACAUUGCUUCUCCAGAUAAGGAGGAUAUUGAGAAGUAUGUCCAGGCAGGGGCUGAGAGUGAUGGAAAGGUGACUGCCAACAUACAGAAGGCCCAGGAGAGACAGAAAGAGGCAUACAAGAGGAGGACCAAGAGGGGGACCAAGCGCUUCAGGAUCACGCCAGGCAUGGAGGUCCUGAAGAAGAAUGAGAGGAAGCGUGGAAGGCAUGGUCAAACCAUGGACCCAGAUUGGCCAACUGUGUACAGGUAAAUGGUUAAGAUACCCAAAAAUGGUUGUGACAUCAAAGGCAUCAAGU